UACGAAGGGGGCUAGCGUUGCUCGGAAUUACUGGGCGUAAAGCGCGCGCAGGCGGUUCAGUAAGUUGGGGGUGAAAUCCCUGGGCUCAACCCAGGAAUGGCCUUCAAGACUGCUGAGCUAGAGGACGAGAGAGGUGAGUGGAAUUCCCAGUGUAGAGGUGAAAUUCGUAGAUAUUGGGAAGAACACCGGUGGCGAAGGCGGCCAACUGGACCAUUUCUGACGCUGAGGCGCGAAAGCGUGGGGAGCAAGCAGG
rnacentral:rRNA from 1 species